GUGAGGAAUAUUGGACAAUGGGCGCAAGCCUGAUCCAGCCAUGCCGCGUGCAGGAAGACGCAUCUAUGGUGUGUAAACUGCUUUUGUACGGGAAGAAACACUCCCUCGUGAGGGAGCUUGACGGUACCGUAAGAAUAAGGAUCGGCUAACUCCGUGCCAGCAGCCGCGGUAAUACGGAGGAUCCAAGCGUUAUCCGGAAUCAUUGGGUUUAAAGGGUCCGUAGGCGGUUUAAUAAGUCAGUGGUGAAAGCCCAUCGCUCAACGAUGGAACGGCCAUUGAUACUGUUAGACUUGAAUUACAAGGAAGUAACUAGAAUAAGGAGUGUAGCGGUGAAAUGCUGAGAUAUUACAUGGAAUACCAAUUGCGAAGGCAGGUUACUACUUGUGGAUUGACGCUGAUGGACGAAAGCGUGGGGAGCGAACAGGAUUAGAUACCCGAAUAGUCC
rnacentral:rRNA from 1 species